AAAAAGCGCACGGGGGAAGGGGGGGAGCGGCAGCUGCGAGGAGAGCACGUGGGAGCGGUGAUGGCAUUUGGGAGCAGGGAUUUUUGGAGGCGGUGAUGUUGGGAGUGGGGAUAUUUGGAAGCAGGGAUGUUCGGAAGCGAGGAUAUUUCCAUGCCCGGCCCGGUGUUAAGAAAAACAAGGAUUAUGAACAGGAUUCCCAUUCAGGACUCACACGUCUAGCAGGAUGCCUAAAUCGUGCUCAAGAUUUCUAAAACCAUCCCGAGUCACUGACUUGGCAGGAUCUGAUGAUACAACUUGCUUCUCUUUGUUUCUGAACUUCCUCUUCCAUCCUGAUUUUGAACUUUUCGUUCAAGCAUCACUGCCUUGACUUAGGAACAGAUGUAUCCAUCAUGGGAAGCUCACAGAAAGAUUGGUGUCCCCCUUUCCUGUCCCUCUGCCCAGCUAAGGGAAUGGCCACAUCUGCUGUCAGCACAAAUCAAAUAUAAAAUUACUGUGAGCUACUCAAAGA